GGUUAUGGCUCAGAGGUAGAGCACUUGCCUAGCAUGUGUGAGGCACUGGGUUUGAUUCUCAGCACCA
rnacentral:tRNA from 1 species